GGGCAUGUCAGCCUGUCGACCUUUUCUUUAUGGAGGCUGUGGUGGAAACAAGAACAGAUUUGCAUCGUGCGAGCUGUGUAACAGUGCUUGUGAAACUAGCGUCUGUGCGAAGGAGAAGCCUGGGCCUAGUCCAUUUUCCAGGAGCAGGAAACACCACAAAAGGCAUCGAUUUCACCGACGACGUUAUCAAGAUUAUGACAGUGCGGAAUGAGGGAACUUCUCAGUAGCGGCACCAAUAAAAAGGUAUAUAGAGUCACAA